UCUGAGCCACAUCCCCAGGCCAUUUACUUUUAUUUCUUUAUUUUUAAGAUGUGAGACAAGGUCUUGCUUUGUCAACUGUACGGGGGCAGAGCGAACACCUCAGGUUCUGGCCAUUGGGCUAGGAUCCCAGCAGGCCUGGGCCACUAGCGCAGCUGGGCUGUUUUAGUCAGAACUGGGUAUGGAGAAAGCCAAUAAACGGAAAUAAAGCAGGGACUGACCAUCCUGGACUCUAGCCUAGUUCGAUCUCCCAGGACGCGGACAGGAGCCAGCGCCGCGCACGCAGGGUGCAGAGUGGGGCGCAUUCGGGACUGCGCAGCCCGCGUGGCACCGCCUCCGCCGGCUGCCGCGGGGACUCCGGUGGAGCUGGGGUGCGCAACGCCGGCUGUAGCCGGCGACGGCUAGGUCAAGCCCCCACCCCGGCUCCUCUUCUCCUCUCUCCUCCGACCAUCUCCGCGGGACUCCCCGGCAGCCGGCGCCCAGCACGGGGAGCUGGCCGGAGAGGUCUCUGGGUCUGAUGGCUUCGGGAGGCCGGAACUCACCGGGACCGGGACCAGGACCGGGACUGGACCUAGCAGAGCCCUGCGCGGGGGAGGAGGGUCGGGAUGACACACGGCGGGCCGGGACACCCGACCUCUGGCGCCUGGCAGCCAUCACUGAAGAUGAUGCUUCAUUAACCCCAAGUCUGAAGAUCAACUCAGAAACUUAGGACUUAUUACCACUUGGAAUUCCUAAGCAUAACAUCACGCUUCCUUUGGACUCACCCAGCUCUCUAGCUAAAAGCAGUGGCUAAGAACCUCUCAGGACAAUGAUGACACCUGGAGUUUCAGGUGGUCCUUCUGACCCUUCAGGAAUUCACAUGUUUUGCUUGCCCCCCUCUCUUCUUGUGUCCUUUGGUAAGCUCAAGGGCCAGCUGCUUGAAGAGCCAGCAGCGAUCGCUAUGCUCUUGCACACUCCACAUCAAUAGCAUCCUCUAAUCAGCACUUGUUACUCACUCAUCCUGAGGUCCUCAAAAAACUUUGAAAUCCAGACUUAAAAGAUGAUGCAUCUCUGCCUCUGGAAAUAACUUCCAUAUUUCUUGAAAGGACUCAAAACCAUAGAGAUACUUCCUGAGCACCGGAGGUGCCACAGGAUCGGAUGAAGAAGCAUGUGUGACAGGUCAGUUGGGAGAAGAUGUGUGUCCUCUGGCUGAUGAGAGUGACAGAACCCUGAAGGUAAGAUGGGAACCUUCAGGCUGGGGUGGUUGUGUAGGCUUGUGGCAAGUGCAGUGUUUAAAAAUGAGCUGUGGACAGUGCAGAGAAAUUUCAAAGGGGAGCACAUGGAAGCAAAUCAUUGCAAAUGCAUGGAAGGGAAAGGUUACGAUUUCUUAACCUGUAAGCGAUGAAGGUAGAUAUUUAUCAUCUCUUAGGAGAAAUUAAUAACUGAAGUAAAAACACAUAUUUGCAUUGUCCCUGGGAUAAUCAUUUUUAGUUUUUUGUUUGUUUGUUUGAGACAAGGUUUCACUCUGUUAUUCAAGCUGACUUUGAACUCACUGCAUAACCCAGGUUGGCCUGGAACCCACUACAAUCCUUCUGCCUCAGCCUCCUGAGUAAUGGAGUACAGGCAUACACCACCACGCCAGCACCUGGACAAUCUUGAUUGUGAACUUAAUUCAUUUGUCAGAUCAGUGAAAUACCUCCUGAGUAUUUCUGAGUGUGGUGGGUCAGGGAGGCAUGGCCUUGGGUGUAUAUCUGCUCCUCACCACACACACACACAAGUUGCUCUUCCCCCAGGGUCUUUAUUCAAUCCACCAUAAAGUAACAACUUUAAGUAUUUCUAGUUUAGAAACUGCUGUGGGAUGAAACCUGUGAGUCUGUUAGCCCAAACUAAUCUCUACCCCUUUAAAUUGGGAGAAUGGAGUAUUUUGUCCAGAAGUGGGUAAGCUGUCUAAUAUAUUCCGUGAAAACUUGGUUCUGUUUACUUGCACAUUUAUGUUUCAUCAUGGUAUUGUUGCCAGUUUUAUCUUGACUUAUUUUUUUAUGCAUAAUUCAGAAAAAAACAUUCUGACAGCAAAAUCUACCCCAGACAUCCUCAGGUAACACUGACUAGAAUGACUUUUCUCUUUAUAAUUCAUCUGAACAAAUUGCUUGGCCUAUCUCAAUAUGUAUCUUGAUUUGUUAUUCUGUAUUUCCAGGAGGCAUGCAGGGUGCACCUGCAUCUCCUGCAGAGAAACAGGACAAACUGCACUUUUGUAGUCAAACUAAACUCAGCCGUUUGCAAUGGUCAUCCCUGAGGCCUGCCUCUGCGUGGAUCCAAUGCAGAUAGUGGUCAGACAGUUGGCAAGACACAAAGGCUCCUGAACUUCCAGUGGUGUCAAAAGAAACCUCUAUCAGCCAAGAACAAGCCUACCUGACAACAUAUGACUCACACUAGAGGUGUGGUAUUUGUGUUCCUGCUAUCUUCAGAAAUCAGCAGAUAUGUCUUUGGACAAAUCAGACGUGGAAACCUCAGAAUGAUGCCAAGGAGAGCACAGAGAAAGCUAAUCUAGGCAAGU